rnacentral:rRNA from 1 species
CCUACGGGGUGCAGCAGUGAGGAAUAUUGGUCAAUGGACGCAAGUCUGAACCAGCCAUGCCGCGUGAAGGAAGACGGCUCUAUGGGUUGUAAACUGCUUUUGUACGAGGGUAAACGCAGAUACGCGUAUCUUUCUGAAAGUAUCGUACGAAUAAGGAUCGGCUAACUCCGUGCCAGCAGCCGCGGUAAUACGGAGGAUCCAAGCGUUAUCCGGAUUUAUUGGGUUUAAAGGGUGCGUAGGCGGUAGGAUAAGUUAGAGGUGAAAUCCGGAGGCUCAACUGUGGAAUUGCCUUUGAUACUGGCAGGCUAGAGAGUAGUUGCGGUAGGCGGAAUGUAUGGUGUAGCGGUGAAAUGCUUAGAGAUCAUACAGAACACCGAUUGCGAAGGCAGCUUACCAAGCUACGUCUGACGUUGAGGCACGAAAGCGUGGGGAGCAAACAGGAUUAGAUACCCUUGUAGUC